rnacentral:lncRNA from 1 species
AUAUGUACAAAUAGAAACGAAGAAGCCAAAAAUAGAAACCCUAAAAACCAAAAAUCCUAAACGAAUAAGUAAAAAUAGAAACCCUAAAUCAAUAACUAAAAACCCUAAAUUGAAGGAAACAACAAUAAUACAAUGAAGCAACAACAAUGAUAGAGAGAAGUAAACUUACAAUGAAAAUACCCAACAUGCGACAACGAGAGCGAGCGAGCGAACGAACGACAGAAAUCUGAUGCAACGAGAGCGAACAACAACGAGGAAGAUGGAGAAAUGAAUAGAAGAAGACGAAGAAGAAGAGAAGAAGAUGGAGAAGCAUUCAGACUCUCGGUAGAGAAAAAGAUGGAGAAACGAAGAGAAUAAGAUGGAUAAGGAUUCAAGAAGGGGAGAAAGGGUUUCUGAGGAAUAGAAAGAGAACUAUCAAAAUGACUAAAAUGUCCCUUAAGUAUGUAUACGU